ensembl:lncRNA
CAGGAAUCCACUAAGGGGCGGCAGGGUAGCCUAGUGGUUAGAGUGUAGGGGCGGCAGGGUAGCCUAGUGGUUAGAGUGUAGGGGCGGCAGGGUAGCCUAGUGGUUAGAGUGUAGGGGCGGCAGGGUAGCCUAGUGGUUAGAGUGUAGUGGCGGCAGGGUAGCCUAGAGGUUAGAGUGGAGGGGCGGCAGGGUAGCCUAGUGGUUAGAGUGGAGGGGCGGCAGGGUAGCCUAGUGGUUAGAGUGGAGGGGUGGCAGGGUAGCCUAGUGGUUAGAGCGUUGGACUAGUAGACCGAAAGGUUGCAAGUUCUAAUCCCCGA